GCUGUCUGGUUUAUGUGGAAUUAUUUGCCAGCUGUCCUACAUCCCUGGGGAAGAGAAGAAGGAAGGCAGCUCUUGCUGUCUUUGAGGAAAGUGCUUGAUGUUCCCAGACUGGAAGGAUGCUCCUGUGGACUGGAAAUGGCUGCAAGAGAGGGCAGCAGCUGUGUUACACCAUGAGCAGCACUGUGGAGGGAGUGCUGCUCCUGCUAGCUCUGUCCCUGCCAUUCUUACCUCAUUCCUACAUUCUUUUACUCCCCCCCAUCACAUCUUCUUGCCUUGAAGAAUUCCUCAGUCUAGCAAAGAAAUUGUGUGCAUGCAUGUCUUUAAGUGCAUGGGAGCUGUUGCUGGCAGUCAUGGACCCAUCCAAGUGCUGGACUUAGUUCUCUCUGUGCUGAAAGUAACUGGCAUCGUCUUGGUGUUCGUGAAAACUGGAAGUGGCAAGAGUUGUAGCUGGUAAAAUUGUGUUCAUUAAUAAUGGAUCUAAGCAGAAAAUGUGAAUGUAACUGCAAAACCUCUGCCAUGAAGUGUUUUUCAGGUAUCUGACUAUUUUAUAGGGAGGUGUGUAAGGCCAGACUUGAUUUAGAUUCAAAGACCGCAAAUUGGACACAGUUCAGGCUUCAACUUUUUCCCACUGAAGAAAGCACAACGCUUCUUGAAGUGAGGGAAAUGCUCCCCCAUGGAGCCCAGGUUUUCACUUCUCCUUACAUUAGACAUGCAGCUAACGAGCACAGCUGAAGUGCCUGAUGUCUGCAGUACCUCCCCUCCCUGCAGAACACCUGACGUUUAAAUGCUGUCUAACCCACAGAAGUUUUGCUUAGGAAUCCAGUGAUCAUAUCUGAUUUAAAAAAAAAAAAAAACACAAGGAAUUCCUUUCACAAGGAGCUGAACUGCAGAUGGUUAUGUGAUUUGAGGGCCACUGAACAUCAACAGUUUCACCAACUGAAUCAGAAUUACAGAAACACCUGCAUGACUGCAUCUGCAGACUCAGCUAAAUUAUGCUUCCAUCCAGCCACAUGACAUCUAACGCAUAAUUCUUCUGCAUUUUAAUCAAAGGCAUUGUAAUGUCAGUAUAAAAUUUCAAUAUGAAUGCACCUUAAUGUAAGAGUAACUAACGGCUGCCAUCCAUUAGUACCAGUUAAGAGACAUACUUCCUACUAGGCAAUGAGGACGUGGCCAUUUUAACUCGUUAUCUGGCUUGUAAAUUACAUCCCACUGCACAUGAAGAGGAUGCUCACAGGACACCAAUGGGGAUGCAGGAUCGAGUGUGCAAAAGUUGGGGAAGUUUUGCAAGAAGGCUGUAGGGCAGGGUUCUCAACCCCUGUGGUGAGGCAGGUCUGUGUGUGCUACCCAAGUGGGGCCAGUUCCCUAUAAAACCUGCACUGAGUUUAGCAACUUAAUGCUUAAAAAAAGACAAAAACUUCUAUCGAGCACGUGCAGACUCUGAGCUUAUAAAGGCUUUUCAGAUUUGAUGGAUUUUCAAGGCUGCUGUGAAGCAUCUCUUAAGAAAUGGCUGAUGUAGGCCAAUCUCCCAGUUAUUGCUUCAGACCGUGAUGUCGACAGGGCUUUUCAAGGACGAACUGCCAGAAACACUGAAACAUUUUUUUCUAGUGCCUUUUUUUUAGAGAUAGAUGAAUUGGCUUGGAUGAAAAAAAUUCCAGAAAGAAAUCAGCCUGACAAAAACAUGAAGUGUGGAGAAUGUUCCUCUAAUUGCUAAUACCUGGUGAAGUUACGAGCGCUGAAAAUCAACUUUUUAAACAGGAAGCAUUGGUCAACCUUGGGUGACAGAAAACACUGUGAGUUACCACUUGCUGAAUUCGCUGAAUGUGCCAGUUGGCUUUUUCAUAAGAUGUGCCUACGGUUUGGCCUUCCAAAGUGUGUCCCAGUGCCCACAGACUGAAUUCAAUAGACUAUUGCUGUUAAAUGAAGUUCUGCCCAUGGUGUGGUUCGGUUUGGAGCCAGAUCUUCUGGAAAACGGAUACUGUCAUUAUCAUGUUACUCCUUUAUUGGCACAUUCACGUUUCCAGUACCAGUAAAACAAGCCUGAAAGCAUACAGUGAGGUAGAAAGUGGAGAUUUAAACUAAGUAAAUUUAUUCUUGAGAGGCUGGUAUUGAAAUACAGUGCUUCCUGCCCAUGUUUGGCUUUACUUUAGUUCAUUGGUCCCUAGUGCACCCAGAAUUAUAGCUCAGCAAACAUCACCAAGGAUCAUACAUUUAAAAAAAAUAAGAAAAAAUCCACCUAAAAAAUCUCCCAGGUGUAGCUUAAAGGCAGAAAACCUCCAGGGUAAAAAAAAACUGACAGACCGUGUCUUGACUUGGUCAUUUCCCCUUUCAGAUGUGGACACAUGUUCAGUACAAAUUACUCUGAAAUGAGCCAUUAUUUUCAUAUGGCUAACAAAUAAUAAUGACUCAACAUUUGCAUGUCCCUGAAUUGCAGUGGAGUGGGAUUACAGAUGGUACAAGAUGCAUUAGUUUUACAAAACAUAUUGAAGAUUUCAACUUUGUGAUGGAAAGUGUUCUGUCAUCGCUUAACUUAUAUGCGUGUGAAUGCCAGCAUAGCGGGGAGCCUGGAGAUAUGAGAACCACUAAAGAUGCAGAAAAUAGGUACGUGGAAGUACAAUGCAAAUUCUCAAAUCAAAUUCAAAUUUGCAUUCAUUUUCAUAGGAACUGACCAGUGGAGAUCCAACCGUCCCGCCCAGAAAGUCUAUGAUGGAGCCCCAGACAGAACCCAAAUGUCCAAGUGGCAUUCCAUGUCUUAAAAAACAAAAAAAAAAGCCAAAUGCCCAGAAAAGGGUCUAUUCUCAUAUUCCUGUUCAUACAUUAAGUCCCACUGGCGAGCAUUAGUGGGAGCUGCAAGCAUGUAUGGGUGUGUGAAGAGCCCCAGUGGGAGCUCUGUAAGGCAGUGUGUGGCUAUGCGGUGAUCACUUCAAUCCCCACAAUCAAAUAAUCUACAGGGAGAAAUCUUGAAGAAUGCUGUGGAUAAAUCAGAUAAUUUAAAGAAACUGUCACAUGACAGGGGUUAAAAAUGAAACAAUGAAAUAAAAACAGCGUUGGAGUCUAUUCACUGAGCUAAACAGUACAUAAGAGCUAGCCUGUAGAAAUUAAAUGGCCAAGAUUUUCAGAAAUGGUUCGUUGCUGAGUUCUCUAACUUAGAGAGAGCAUCAGCGUGGCACAGCUGCAAGGGGCCAGCAACCAGGAGUCCCAGGUACCUCGGCACCUCUCCUGUCAGAAGGAAGCUUCCCCCAGAGCAGCAGCAGUCACAACUUGCAAAAUCCCUCCUCGCUUCUGCCAAUGCUGACCACUGCAGCUGCAUCAGUAAAUGCUAAGGGACGUCUGUAGCUUACUGAAAACAAGAGAAGCUACUGAACGCUAUAAAGGGGUAAGAACUUUACCCUAAUUCCUAAGAAUUUUGUUUUUCUGUUCUAUUAUUACUCUGUAUUCUGAACAGAAAUAAGGGACACAGCAAAAAGGUCUCACUGACAAGGCAUGAGUUAAGAAAAGCUCUGAUAAGAAUUGCUCUGCUGAAGAAUACAGUACACGAAAUGGUGGCAGCUCUGCAAUAGGUCAGUGAUAAUGAUGCUCCUGAGGUUAUGCUGCACCAACAGCAACCCUAUAAAUGUCAAAGCCUUGCAGAAUCUCCCUGGGAAAGGCUUCCUGCUACCUGACAAGCCUCCGGCAGCCAUUCUGCCGGGCAACAAAAGUCUCUAAAGAGUUUGUUCUCUUUCUGCAGGCAAUCUUCAGGUUUUUCCCCGAAGCCAUUGCCUAGUUCAAAAUCCCACCGUGAUUUGGAGGAUACCGGUCUCACUUACACUUAGAUGAAAGAACAAAACCUUUCCUGACAGUUGCACAUAAAUAGGUGUAAUGAACAAUGAAAUCAUCAGUUAACAGAGCAGACAGCAAACAUUGCUGGAGGGUUUUAGGAUGGUGAUAAGAGCCCAUACAAACAACCUAAACUGGUGGAAUAUGGAGUGGAUGAUAAGUAAAUAACGUGUAUGAAUCAAGUCUAAGUGCAAUCGCCAUCACUCGUUUCUAUUCCUUGUUCUGGUGCCCAUCAGCCACCUGAAUUGGAAGUUCUUGCAGAGUCCUGUGUGUCCGUGCAUGUCUCACUGGCUUCAGACUCAGGUGCAAAUUGUUCCAGCAAUACUGCUCUGGUACAUCCAAGGCAAAGCAAUCCAUAAGACUGACAAUGAAAGCUCUUAUCUUGUGAGAUGUCCUUUUCCAAUGGUCACUGACCAAUGGCCAACCUAUUAAUCACGGUAAACCAAGCUUGUUGGGUCCGUGCUGGCCAAAGCACUUGAGAAAAGACAAAAGGCAUCGUGUUCCAGCUGGCACCUGCAAGUAAUUACACAUGGCGAUAGAGGUACGCAAAAGAACAUUUUGGGAACUGAUGCUAAGAAGAAAGGUGCAUUUCUUUUUGGAACAGACUGAACUACUUUCUGAUCUCUAGAUGCCUUAGGGUCUUAGAAAUCAAAGUAAAUAAAAUCACUUGCCAGAUGUUCAUCUGGAAAAGUGACAGAUCUCCAGUUACUUUUCACCAGUUCUGGGAGCUGAUUCCACUUCCCACAUGAUCCUGUAUUUUAUAAGGCUAUUUUAUCAGGCCAGUGGUACAGGGCAAAUGCUCCAAAACCAUAAGAAAACUGAAUCUGGGGGCCCACCUUUUUUCCCAAAGCGUCUUAUCUGCCUACCACCACAUCUUUCAGGCUGUCUCCGGUGUCUGGGGUUAUCAGGACACAUAUGAUACAUAGUAAAAACCAGACAUGCAGUUUUAGGAGAAUCUAAAAUGUGGCGGCUGACUCUUUUCCUGCAAACAUCCUGAAGAAAGAAAGGGAGAAGAUGAGAAGAUGACUCCUCCUCUGGACAGUACCAGGCAGCCAUGGCCAGAGUUUCGCUUCUGGAAGAUAAACUAUCCCCAUCAGACCACUCUCCAUUGAAAGAAAAGAGGAAGACCAAUUUGUGAUCACAGCUUGAGAAAUAAGUCUCCUUCAUAUCAUACCACUUCAUCCUGGAUCUGACAGUUGUUUCAAAGAUAAAGAAAUCCCUCAGACUGUGCCUAUGCCAGCAAGUCAUUUCAGCUUGUGUUUCAUUUUAACUUGCUGUGUUGAUCAGUGGGACAAUUUCCUGCGUUGAGUUAAUUGCCAGCACCACUGCAAGCUCAAAAGGCAGGUCAGCAGCCACUGGAUCAAUCCCUAAGUCCCUGAGGCCAUCUAGCUGUCCAGGCUCUGCUGUCACUGACAUUUCUGUGCCCUUCCAACUUUUGGCAUCUGAGUUACCUUUUAAUAAUGCUGCCCGAUGUCUUUUUUUUGCUUUGGCUUGUUAUUGAAUCACCAGUAUCUCUGGUCACCUCUAUCUGUAAAAUCAGUAGGAACAACAGACACCUGGUAGUUACGUUUCAUGGGCUAACAAGUUGAAGAGCAGAAAGGAUUGUGCUGAGCUUUUACUCUGACCUCCUACACAGAAUCAGCCUAUGCUUUUUGAUUUUACAGAUUUAGAUCCCAGUUUUCAUUUCGCCCAGCAGGUAUUUAGGUAAAGUUGAGCUGUGCAUAGUCUGAAUUUAGAAGACCCCCAAAAAGAUGCUACAGCUGAAGGAAAUUAGAUGAAGUCUCUGCUUCUCUCCCUUCUGCAAUACACUGAGCUAAGACCAGAUGCACAGUGUGGUGGUAUUGUAGAGCCUCCAAACAUGUUGUGAUUGAUCGUGGUUUUGGCAGUUCUUGAGCUUUUCAGAGGGAGGAGAGAGGAGCAUGUUUGUAGAAUGCAAAGGAUGCACAGGAUACAUGUCUGGGAACUGCUGAGGCAGGUAUGUAAGGUCACAGAGGGAAGAAGCUGUGUGAGCAGCAGGGCAAGAAACUAUCAGCAUUUUCUCAUGGGAAUCGAUUGCUGAGGCAGUACUGCUUCAGAAAAAGAGGUUUGGGGUGAACUUUCAACCUAGUAUUCUGACUGUGACCUGCCCUCAUCCAGGACUGUCUUAUUCACACUGCAAAUAAAAGAGAGUUUGAGGUAAGAGGUUCCCUGAGCUGUGGUCACUGCUUCUCCUUCACUGGAGAGCAGAGGCUCCAGGCUCCAGGAACCAGCUGCUUCCAGCCAGCAGGCAGCAAGGGGCGGCCCGUCUGCAGCAGGAGGCUGCUUCUGGGUGCUUUCCCAUAGCUCCACAUCCGUGCAGAAACUCAGUCCCUACCUCUUGAAAUAAUUUGUUAUUACAGAUAUAUAAACGAGUUAUACCUGCACACCUGGCCUGUGUCUGUAGAGCCCAUGAAAUGUGUUAGACUUGUUAUUACUUGAUUAUUCCUUUGCACAGCUGUACGUUCCUGCUCCCAAACACUUCAGAAACAUUUCUGCUGAUGUGCGUAGACUCACAGCUUAGUAGGCUAGAGAAAGUCCCUUGAAAUACUACAAAUCACUAUGUGCUGUUGCGCCGGCGUUCAAUGUAUUAACUUGUGUUUGGUUACCGCAGCUCUUCUGCACUUGCUUUGAAAAUGUCAAAAACCACAGUAGCUACUUUGUGCCUUGAAAGUUAGCCUUCAGCCAUUUUUGCUGUCGAAAUCUAACUUCUCCCUUGAAUUUGCUCAGCUGGCUUGCAGAUAGCCAUUCUUCUCUGAAAGAUCAAAAGUUUCAUCAGUAUCUAGCAGAUACUUCCAGAGUGAUCUCAUAGAUACAUCCUUGCACAUUAUACCCAUGUCACGUCUCAGACUUCUUUCCAGUAAGCUAGGCAGAUUGAGUGCUUUAAGUCUUUCACCAUUAAGCACUUCCUUCAGCCCUGAAAUCCUCUCUGUGGCUCUUUUCUGUACCCUCUCCACUUUUCCAACAAUCUUUUAAAACUGCGAGCACCAGAAACUGCAUAAUCUUAUAUUGUCUGUGUUAAAACCAAUUGUGUUUGAAUGGGCUCAGCUCAUCAAGCAAUUGAGAUCACUUGGAGUAUCAUUCUCAUCAUUGUCUGUCACUCCACCGAUGUUCCUGUCAUCCUCAAAUUUAUCAGCUGUGAAUUUACAGUGUUUACAUCCAGCUCAUUGAAGAAAACAUUAACUAGCAUCUGACCCGAUGAUGAUCCUGGUAAAACUCUCCCGUUUGAUAACGCUUCCUGAUUCAUAGCUAGCUUUUAACAGGCUGUUAGCCAAUUCCUAAUCUAAUUAGUGCAUGCUCUGUUGCUAUUUCUAAUGUUUUUUGAUCAGAAUAUCAUACAGUGUUAAUUCUAAUCUCCAUAAAAAAUGAGUAUCGCAUCUUUUCAUUGACCUUUAUCAUUCAGUCUUUACCUUCAUCAUAUUAUUUGAUGCGCCUCAUCAAAGAAAGAAAUUGGGUUUGUCUUAUAAGGCUUAUUUCUCCUAAAAUUGUAUUUACUACCAUUAAUUACAUUUCCAUUCUCUAUUGUUUCGAUCCCGUGGCAGUUAUUGCAAUUCAGGGUAACAGCCGGCAAUGUGUUACAGGCCCGUCUGUGAGGCCUGGACCUGCUGUAGACCCAAACAAAACUGGUUCUUGAACCCGCUCCUUGAAAACCGACGCGCUUCGUUGUAGUGGCUCGUCGUUGAUUUAGGUUUAUACCAUCAGGUGAUUCAGAAUGGCUAAUUGCCACGCGUAAGCUGCGAGCAAACUACAGCAGUACGUGUGUUCACUCCGAUCCCCGGCCUCUGCUUUCCAAGUGCUUCCCAGUGACCGCUGGUACGGAAAUCAUUACAACCCUGCAGUUCCAGAGAGAGCUCGCUGCCUCCUGAAGCGUGCCUUAGAAGAACGCCAUGAAAGGGACGAUGAUGAAAUAUCAGCUAUCAUGUAACUAUCUAUAAAUGUUAGAUUUCUACAAAGUGAUUCCGCUGAAUUGUAAUUAAGGGUUUGAAAGUCGAAUGAUUUUAAGUGCUAGUUUUAAUUACCGCUUGGUGAACUUUAGUGUGUUAGAAUUGUCACAACUUUCCUUUAGAAUUAGUGUCAAGCCAGGCAAUACACUGGGAAAUUAUUAACUCAUACUUUGGUUCAGCAAUUAUCUGCAUUACAAGGUUUAUGCAAUUAGCUGUUUAAGAUGUCAUUAUAUUUUGCCAUCUGGUACACAGGAGUUUAUGCAUAUGAACAGGCACGUGUUGAAGUGAUUUUCACUAUAUGACUCUUGAUCUCAACCCAAAUCAUCACUAUAAUGAGUGGAAGACACAGUGUACAGUACAUUAGUGGCAGGUGCAUACUAUCAACUUCAUUUUAAUAGAAGACUUUCAUGUUUCCAUUUUUAAAGUAUUCUGCACAAGUGCUGAAAAAUUAAUUGCUCGUUUGCAAUUUAGCAAAAAACUGAAGACAUGUUAUUGCUAAAUGCUAAGGAAUAUCAGUUUUCAGAACAGCGGCCACUAAUUUAAGUUCUUUCCAUCUGUAACUUCAGGCCAACUUCUGCUGGAGACAAUAAGAAAGUCUCACCAAAGUUCAGCUUAAAACGUUCCCUCGUUUCGUGGUGAACGUGGCGAGCUGCCUUUGGUAGUCUCACGGCACUGGAGCUACGGCAGAGCGAGCUGCAGGGAUGCCUUCCAGCACCCAAACAUCCCAUGUGCAACAACCUACAAUGGCACAGGCCUCAGCCCACGGGUGUGGUGCUGCGAGCCACGUCCUCGCUCUUCCUCCAGCCCGUCUGACCGCAUCGCGUUGCCUGCUGGCUCACGAGCCCGGCAUAGAUUUUAAAGCAGGGGGGAGAAAAGGUACUGCUGUCAGCAGCCUACCACAAGGAGA